rnacentral:tRNA from 1 species
GGGCGCUUAGCUCAGUGGUAGAGCGCUUCCUUCACACGGAAGAGGUCACUGGUUCGAUACCAGUAGCGCCCACC